CAGUCCGGGAGCGGUGCAGGAAAAACUGGGACUUAUCGAGACAAAGAACAAAAGUCGUGGAGGAAAGAAGCCAAGAGCCAUCUCCACUCUGGGGUCCCCAACCACUGACCAAACUCCAGUCCAGGCAGCCACCAGCUGGCCUGGUCUUGCUACUUCCUUUAGCGGCUUCCAAGGUCCUGGGAUAGGGGGUCUGGGCCACCAAGAGACUCUGCCAGGCUGUCUCUGCAGCCACAGUCACCCCACCGGACCCCUGCCUCCCAUCUGAGAGGACAGCCCUCUUCCUGGAGCUGGGAUCUGACGCUUGCUGAUAUCAAUGGCAGAUACCAGAUGUGGAGACGGAGAUCAGAGAGGGAAGUGACUUGUUCAAGGACAGAAGGUCACCUCGGGUAUUCAGGGGCUCCAGCCAGCAUGGGAAUGAAUGGUGGGAUCUCUAUGGACCUGAGCAAUGUCUUGAAGGA